UCAGAAUGAGAUUCUGGGCAUCCAGAACACCUCCCGAAAGCAGGUGGAAGACAUCACUGAUGCGAAUUCCAGUCUGGAAGAAACCACAGAGCCACCUGCAGAUGGCAAACAUCUGCAGGAGCAUGAAGUGGGCCAAAUGCCAGCCACUGAGGAGCUUCCACAGGAAGCACAGGAGUCCCCCAGCCUCGCAUGUGAAGACCAGCAGGGGAGAGGGGACCCCCUGGGUGCCUGUGUAUGCCUUGAGCCAGGUCUCUGUGCUGGGGGUGACUCUACCUGGACCCUGGGCAGCUCUAUUGACAGAGACAAGAACAAGAGUCUGUCAGUGGCUGUGGAGCAGAGGA